rnacentral:misc_RNA from 1 species
UAACCCCUGAGGAGCAUUUGGGUGAUGUUAUUGGUGAUUUGAACUCCAGAAGAGGACAGGUCAAUAGCUUCGGGGAUAAACCUGGUGGCCUGAAGGUUGUCGAUGCUUUCGUGCCACUUGCGGAGAUGUUCCAGUACGUCAGCACGCUGAGAGGAAUGACCAAGGGGCGCGCGUCUUACACGAUGCAGCUCGCCAAGUUCGACGUCGUCCCACAGCACAUCCAGAACGAGCUCUCUGCGGCGAAACAGGAGGAAGCUAGUACUGCUUAAUUUUUUUUCCAGAUUUUGGUAGAUAUACUAAACGGCGACACCGGAGCAGGUGGAUAAUAGGACAUCCAAGUGUAUGUAG